UUGCAGUUAAAAAGCUCGUAGUUGGACUUUAGCCAGUAGAACACACUGAGGCAUUGAGUUGUCAAGUGUGGGAGUUGGCGUUUUACCUUGAGGAAACUAGAGUGUUCAAGGCAGGCUAGGCUUGAAUACCGUAGCUGGGGAUAAUCUGGUUAAUAGGGACAGUUGGGGGCAUUGGUACUCAGCAGUCAGAGGUGAAAUUCUUGGAUUUGCUGAAGACCCACUAAUGCGAAAGCAUCUGCCAAGGAUGUUUUCAUUAAUCAAGAACGAAAGUUGGGGGCUCGAAGACGAUCAGAUACCGUCCUAGUCUCAACCAUAAACGAUGCCGACCAGGGAUUGGCGGAUGUUACUUAUAGGACUCCGCCAGCACCUUAUGAGAAAUCAAAGUAUAU
rnacentral:rRNA from 1 species